rnacentral:rRNA from 1 species
CUACACGAAGCUGGAAUCGCUAGUAAUCGCGAAUCAGAAUGUCGCGGUGAAUACGUUCCCGGGUCUUGUACACACCGCCCGUCACACCAUGGGAGUCGGGAAUGCCCGAAGUCAGUGACCCAACCAUAUGGAGGGAGCUGCCGAAGGCAGGUCUGAUAACUGGGGUGAAGUCGUAACAAGGUACC